GGCCGGCUAGCUCAGUCGGUAUAGCGUUGGACUGUUAAUCCAGCGGUCGUGGGUUCGAGCCCCUCGUUGGGCG
rfam:Ciona savignyi cont_33941, whole genome shotgun sequence.